GCAAUAAGUCUACCAAUUUAACUGUUUUAUCUCCUUUUCCCAGAAUUAUCUCUGUUGAAAGGGUUAAACUUUUGGUGGCAAUAGAAGAAAAAAGUCUGUUCCUUGAGUUAUGAUCUACUUUUCCUCUUAAGCUUCUCCUAGCUGUGAGGUCUUUACACGCUGCAGUUUCUCCAGCUCCUGUACUACUCCUUACAUCUAAUUUUUAGUAUUUAAUUACUUAUGUCAACCUUCCUUCAAAUGAGGGUUCCACUGUUCUGGAUUCUAGUAUUGGUAGUGUUUGGGGUAGACUUGCUGCAGCAAAGUUGGACUUCACUGUUCCUGGUUUUUUUAAUCACAAAGUCACUGUGUGGAAUGGAACAUUUUCUCAGUUUAUAUUCUGGAUCUCUCUGGUUUCUUCAGCAUGUAAUAGCAAAAAAAAGAGUGAUCUUUAACAAGCUGUUACAUUUAUGUGUUAUAUAUCAUGUAGCUGUUUUUUUGCUAACAUACGGAUUUAGGAAAUUAAGAUCAUGUUUUCUGAAAAUGAUAAUCCUUUCUAUAUUUAUUUAUAUUUUGCAUACAAAUUACAUCUCUUCCUUUUCAAAAAUUGAGUCAGAAUGCUUCCAGCUCAAGCAUUUUGUCCCUCCAUUUUUAUUUUUUUUUUUUAUUUUGCUCUUUAUUUGAGUUCUGUGAUGGGUUAAAAGUUACUUUAGGAUUGUUCUGUAUCUGCCAAUGUGUUUGUAUUGUUUCUCAAUUGGAAAAUGAGAAUCUGAUCACAGUGAAUACUUUGAGCAGUUAGCAGCAAAUACAAGAGGUCAUUACUUUUGUGAGAAAGAAUACAUCAAACUUUGGAUGUCAAAACUGGAAUUAAUACCUAUGACAGGAAGCAAGGGGCUUAGAACUUGAGUGUCUUCUGUUUAUAAUAUGUUUUUAGCAACAUUUGAGUUCUAACAAAAUCUUUUUUCUAUUGAAUUUGUUUGGGUUUUUUUGUUUUUGUUUUUUUGACAUUUCUAAAUUGACUGUUGAUAGCUGCUGAGAUUCCUUGAAGGGAAAAACAGGAAUGUUCAUAAACCCAGUCAGAAUGUCAAAGUGAGGACAGCUGAAUUAGGUAUUGUAACACAAGGACUUAGUCCAAGGGGAGGACUGCAAAAAUUCUUCCACAGGCAGUGAAGACAAGAUUUGAGUAACCACUGUCAGAGAUCAGUAGCACAGAUAAUCCAGCAGCAGUGGCACAUUCAAGGUGUAACUGUAGUGGUGGUGUUUUUAUGGGGACUGGCAGAAGCAGCACUUUUUUUAGCUGUUAAAUACUUUUCGCUUACCACUUGAAAUACAAGGUUUGCUCUUGCAGAUUUGUGGACUUUGCUUUUUCAUUCUCUAAGCUGAUUUUAGAGGCUAUAUUGAACAGGAUGUUCAAAUAAUUCUGGCAUUCCUUAAGGACUGACUAGAGUUUGAAAAUUGGGUACCUUAAUCCAUCCUUUCCUUUCAGAAUUGUUUUUUUUCUGACAAAUUCUUGUUACACUAAACAAAUGAAGCCAUAUAGCAAACAUUUCAGUAAUCAGGCCAACAUAAAGUACUCAUAAAUUAUCACCAAGCAGCUCUAAAUCUGUCAUAAACUCUUACUGACUGGCUCACAGGAAUGUUUAUGUAAUUGAGAGAAACUAUAGAAAGGAAGUUAAGUCUCCUUUUACAAGUUAAAUCAACUACAGCGAGAUGAAAAACACCCACGCAUUUGGCUUUGGAUCAGCAGAGACGUUCUUGAAAAGCAAACCUUUAUGAAAUCUUAAUUAUGAAACCAAUUUCAAGGUGAAAAAAAAUUAUCAGUUUUCCAGGUGUCAUAGAUUGUACUCUGCUUGCAUAUUCCUUGUAUAACAGGCUAUCACCUUUAUCAAGGAGAUACAGAUUUGGAAUCAUUCUAGCAAAUAAAUUUUGACAUGGGUUGGAGCACAGAUGUAAUGUAGGAUGUGUAAAAGCUGGAAAGCUUUGAGAGGGGUCCAAGAAGUCACAGUUCCACAGAUGUGAAAAAAGCCACCACACCACCAAACCUGCUGAACGAGAUGUUAUCUUACAUGACAUGCCUUUAAAAAAGGUGUAUAAGCUGCAGUGCAACACAGACAAAUACAUUAAGAAAUUAUUUUUAUCUUUUAGAGUGCAAGUUACGAAGUAUAAGAGCAACUGGCAAGGGUUUUUAAAGCAAGGAGUGAAAUACCAAUAAGGAAACCAAAUGAGAGAUUAAUAUUAAACCUAUGUUAUUAACAAAAAGAAGCUUAUUCCACUGAGCACAGUGACAUAGGUUUGAAAUGUGAUGUUGGAAAUAUGGCACUAGAAAUUGAUAAUCUUAACAGAACAGGUAGCAAGGAUGCAUUUGUUCAAACGAAAGAAUUUUGAACCACCAAGUCCAAAUGAGAAACAGACAUUUUUCUGCAACAGGUAAGAUGAAGAGUCACACCUGGUAAAAUUUAUCACACUUUAAAAAAAUGAGAAAUUCCAAAAAGUUGUGAAUCGCUGCAGUUUUGGUGUUUUUACAGAGGUGACUGAGGCAGCUACUGCCCUGAAGUCAGUCCUGAGGAAAACAGUGGAAAGGCAGAUUUGAGGUUAUAUGGAAAAGCAGCAUCUACUUUGAGCACCACAGGAUUUUUCUAGGUAUUACUGACCGCUGUGGUUUUUUGAGAGACUGUUUUUGGCAAAUGGUACUGACAGAUUUCUAAUUGUUUUGCUUAUGCCUUUUUUGGUUUGUUUUUAACACAUUAUUGUCAGUACAUAAACUUUGGAUUGCUUAAAGGAAUUUGAUUUAUUAUCACACCAUAUUUUGAUCUAAAACAAACUUGUAAAAUCUUAUUCAACAAAGGAAUUAGCUCUUAGUUCCUACAUUUCUAUGCAAAAUGUAGUCUAAACAAACAUCUCAGGAAACCAUUCUGUUUCUGCUUAAAUGCUUCCAGAUGUUCAGUGUGUUUCAAAUGUUAUGGGUUAUUAUAAAGCUAAGAACUUUAUUUCCUUGCUUUAUAUGUCUCACCUUAAAAUAGGUAUGGAAAGGAACUUCAGAGACCCUUUGAUAAUGUUCCUUGCCUCAGAUCUGCAAAAGUCUGCUCUAGAGAAGGGGCUGUAAUGAAAUACUAGGAUGCAGAGGUUUUCUUGGUCAUCUGCAGAUCAGGAAGAAUUUCAUUCUUGUACUGUGUAAUUUGAUCUUUAAAUCUUUUCACCUGCCUAUGAGAUUGGCUUUAGGAUGUGCAGUAUUGAACACAGGUGAUCUGUACCUUCAGGUGCAAUAGAUACUCAUAUUUUUGUUUCCUUGCAGAUUGCAUCAUGCCAGCUGGACUUCUGGCUGGGAAACAGAUAUCCCCAAAGUCAGACUGGCAGGAAUAUUUCCCCCCAUCUUCGUCUGUGGAGCUGGCUGAUCACUGCCGAAAGCUAAAGAUGGAGCUUGGGCUGAUACCCCCACUCCUUGAGGCUCAACUCUUUGCCCUUCAAAAUAAUGUAAAGGCAUGAGGACUUCACUGAUCCUGAGGGGAAUUUUUCACAGGUAUGUGUCCUCACUCCUUUAGUGUGUGUCUGCCAAGUGUGAAUAUAGCAUUGCAAAUCGUUGUGGUUUAAAAGCAAACAGUUGCUUCCCUUCUCCCCAGUCCCCUCCAGUGAGAUAGGGACAAAAAGGCAGAGAUUAUGGGUUGAGAUAACAAUUUACUAGAGAAAAAGUAAUGAGAGAAAGAAAACAGUAACAGCAAAUGGUACUCAUAAAACAGUGCAUAAAAGAGGUGAUUUACAUACAAAAAGGUGUUCACCACCCCCACCCAGCUCCACAUGGCUACCAAGACAAAGACAAAAUGGUGGAUGGUACCACAGCCCUGCAGCUGUGGCUCUUCCCAAGACAAACAAUAUAUGGUAGAUGUUCUCACAGCUGGUGUCCUCCUUCCCCAAGACCAAGACAACAAACAAGGAUGGACAAACCUUCCAAGCCUUCUUCCUCUGCACAUCACCGACUGCUCUGCCUGCACUGACUGCCCUGUGCCACCCCAAGGGAUGUGGUCACCGCUUUGCUCCUCCAGAAAAAAGGAACAAAAUUGGUGCCAUUUCUGCUGUGCACUCAGCUUUCCUUCCACCUGAAACCAUGUCCCCUGCAAUGACCUGGAUGGUUUAGAAUAGCACGCCAGCCACACCCACACACUUCUAGGCCCUGCCCCUCUCAGCAAGGGCGAGAGAAUGAACUCUCCUGGCCAGAACCAGGACACUCAGGCACUGUGAGUGUUGAUCUCUGCAAUCUCAUACCAGGAACUUAAAUGAAAAGGCACCUCAACCAAAAAAAGACAAAAGAUCAAGUGGUAACUCCUUUGGCUUACUGCAAGUUUGUAGAAAUCCCUUUGGAUCUGAAGAAGGGACUGCUAAAUCACUGUCCCAUUCUAGAGGAGACCCUGUGGGCUUCUCUCCAGCUGUCUUACACUAGUAUUGGAUCCAGCCCCUCUUGCACUGUUGCAAUGUGACACUCGGCCCCGCUCUAUUUCAGAACUGCUGCGCUGACCCAUCCUCCUCCAGAG